CAAUGCAAUUUCCAGGUCAAAUGUAAUAUCCUCAAAUAGCUAUUCAUCCUGAACAGCUUUGGCUGACAUUACAGGUAACUGUCCCCUUCCCUCUUUUAUAAAUGCUAUCUAAAAGAACAAAACCACUCUGAAGCCAGUCUGGCAGAAACAGCUUUCAAAACAGAAAUCUCUUUUCCCCAGUGGAACAUAAUCCCUCAUGAAAGAGGCUGGCACGGGGGUGGCUAUUCUACAUAUUCAAAUCAGAUGUGGAGAUUAUUCUAAAUACAUUUGGAAGCAUCGCAGUUGCUGCUCAUGGUUUUCCAUGAGUUGAGCAGAAUUAAGGUUGGACAAACAACUUUGUUUGAAUGUUGUGGGGGAAAAAGCGAAGUAAUAAAUAAGUGUUUCGGAUACAAAAUACCACACAGUAGUGACUAAUUCCUAGACUUAAACUGUGGAAGGUUUUACAUACACAAUCACAAGAAAAAUUUCAAAUCUUUUAAACGGAUUUAAAUGAGAGAAGGAUACAGUGGAUACACUUCAGAAUUAACAGAUCUCUACUGAAUCCAAGUGCUUGAAACAGUUACACAACAGAGGCUUCAAAAGCAUAUGGGCUUUAGCCCUAGGGACUACACCCAAGAAUAUAAUAUUCUACUUUAUAGCUGUGUCUUCUUUUUGUGUGUAUGUGUGUGUGUAUUCUUGGAAAUGUAUUUGAAGCAUUAAUAACCUCACACAGGGCAUGGACUGAGGCCACUGCCCAUUAUUCUGUAUGCAGAACAAACUGGUGGUUGCUGCAAGAAGUCCUAAUGUAAAGGGACAAUUCAGGUGAAGCCCACAGUGCACAAGACUCCUUCCCCACUGGAGCAAUAAUCACAGGACCUGUCCACACUGAAGCAUUUCCUACCCAGGCUAUGGAAUCAGAAUCGCAAACCUCUUCCUAUCCAGAGCAUCAUUUUGUACCUGCAGAGGAGUGAAGGAGCAAACCAAAAUACUGGAGCUGCACAAAACAUUCCCUCAACAGUACCUGGCACAUCAGCCACUGACCCAUUCCACUUUUAUUUACUUAUUUGAAAGCAAUUAAUGGUGAAUAAAACUGAAACCACGACAAAUAGUAA